AGGGACAGCAGUCGCCGCGGUAAUACAGAGGGUGCGAGCGUUAAUCGGAUUUACUGGGCGUAAAGCGUGCGUAGGCGGCUUCUUAAGUCGGAUGUGAAAUCCCUGAGCUUAACUUAGGAAUUGCAUUCGAUACUGGGAAGCUAGAGUAUGGGAGAGGAUGGUAGAAUUCCAGGUGUAGCGGUGAAAUGCGUAGAGAUCUGGAGGAAUACCGAUGGCGAAGGCAGCCAUCUGGCCUAAUACUGACGCUGAGGUACGAAAGCAUGGGGAGCAAACAGGAUUAGAUACCCCCGUAGUCCCUGUCUCUUAUAC
rnacentral:rRNA from 1 species